rfam:Procavia capensis cont1.725520, whole genome shotgun sequence.
CUGAAAAGGCUCUCUUCCUCUGCUGUAUGUUCACUCACAUGGAAGGUCUGGGGAGUUCUCUAAAAUGCUUUUCAAAGAUGCCCUUCACAGUUCAGCC